UCAGUUGAAACAUCGUGUCAGUAACAGCUUCGUUCUGCUGGGGUUAAACUAAUCAUCCUAAACCAAGUCAGUUACUCGAUACUUCGGUUCCCAUUGUUCCUUAUUUGUUGUGAAUACAUGUGUGCGUGCAAGAGCAUCUGGGGCACAGGACAUAUUGUGUGAGUGGAAGGAAGAAUGGAUUCCACCAAAUAUCAAGAAAUUCUAGAGGCUAAUGUCAAUCCAGACAUUCAAGUUGAAGAGAGGUUGGGUAUUCCAGCAAGGCGAUUAUCCAAAGCAUACCUCAAAAUCAACCAUGAACUACCUCCAGGAAAGACGGCUGAAGGUUUUGGAAUGGCCACCGCAGUCCCCAGACUUGAAUAUCAUUGAAAAUCUGUGGAGCGAUUUGUAAUACACACAAGGGAGCCAAAGAAUAUUUCUGAACUAGAAGUGCUCUGCCAGGAAGAAUGGGAUAAAAUUCCAAAAGGGAGAAUUGAAAGACUCUUAGCUGGCUACAGGAAGCGUUUGCAAGCUGUUAGAGUUCCCAGAGGAGGAGUUAGAAAGUCCCGGGUUCCCAAACUUUUGCACAGGGCUUCUUUCCUCUUUUUUUUUUUUAGUAUUUUCAAAAUGUUAAAAAAUAAGAAGUCAUCUUGUUUAUUUGAAGAAAUGUGUCACGUUUAACGUUGUACUAUUUAGUCAGGUUCGCUUGACUUCGAUAUUAAUUGUAAACGGCUUCUUGACCAGGGGUGCCCAAAGUUUUGGACACUCCUGUAGAGUGUUCAUAGUCACCAUAGAAACCCCUGUGUGCUGCUGCCUGAUGGCUCUGUGCUAGUCCCUCACAGGAGUUGCUAAAUGAAGUUCACAGUGAACAUUAACUGAAGCGUCUGACCCAUAUCUUUGUGAUUUUAUGCAUUCUCAGCUAGCACAUUCUGGUCUUACAGCAAGGUCAACAAGGGGUAUUCAGAAGACAAAAUACUGAUCAAUGUUCGUGGACAGCUUCAUGUCUUUUUGUUUUGGUAAAGCCCUCCUUUCUGGAAAAGUGUGUAUAAGAGUCUUACUGUGUCUGAUUCAAAUCAGAAAGCCGGUAAGCUUUCUCACUUUCUGUUAUUUCUUUACAAAUAAAUGUUUUGCAAAUGAAA